rnacentral:lncRNA from 1 species
GAAAAUUUCUCAGUUCAAUAGCUAAAAUAAUACCAGCUCAAUUUAUUUACAAAAUUUGCUGUUUCAUGUCCUGUCUCAAUAGUGAAUUAACUCGGUCAUUUCAUAACAGAUUUAAAUCGUCAAAGUCCAGUUCCAGAGAAAUCAGAUUUUACUUCAGCAUCAAAGUCAAAUUGAAAGGUAAUUUUGAAAUUCGAUUAUUCAAAACAAGCAUGAAGAAUGUACUCACCGCAUAUUGAUUGGAUAUAUGUUUUAGUCUUUUGAAGCUCGCUAGUGUCCACAUAGGCACCACAUGAAUUUGGCUUUCCUGUUCAUUUAAUGUGAACCACUGCAUAUCUUCCUUCGAGAACCCUAAGCAUUCUAAUAGACGGAACUUUGCCGCUGUAACAUGAACCUUUCUACGAAGUAAGCGAGCAACCUCCAAGAACAGUCUUUCCUUUCCUUUUGCAAGAAAAUAGUAAUGAUGAACAAAAAAUGAGAGGUGGCAUGUGGGAUGGAGAGAGAGAUAAAGAUAAGGAUUCAGAGAGAGAGAUAUAGAGAGUUUUGGGAGGGGGGAGAGAGGAAGUGAGAACUUACCAAUAGUGUAGCUUCCAAUUAGAAAAAGAGUUUUGGGGUUGAAAGAUUCAGCUUGGAUGGCCUCAAUGACAAACUGUAUUACAGCCUCCUGCUUUGGAAAGUCAUACUGCAAUAAAUCAUGGUAUAAUAUUAACUUCAAUCACCAAUACCAUACAGAUUUUCAUCUGAAAUAAAUUGAAUGUGAGCUGAUGCUCUUUGGUUAAAGGAAAAAAAAAUGAGGAUGAGUGAUGCAGAAUUACCUAUUGCUAAGCUUUUGUAUUUUAUAUUUUAUUUUGACGAGAAGCUUAGAGCUAGGAGCAAGUCACUAAACUUCAUAAAGUGCGCUGUAACCUUUUUUUAGUUUCAACAGUGCAGACACUGGUGAGGAAAAUCAUGCUAGAUUUAGGAGCUUCAUCUGAAAUUAGAGCUUUCACAUCUUUCUCUAUUUCUUCCUUGCUUUAUCCUAUAUGCCACCAGAACUGUCUGUGGGCUUAUAGUUGAUGCCAGUCUUAAAUUUAAAUUAGGUCUAAUUCAGCCAAAAAAUUGCUAGGUUAAGAGGCAAAGGUGUCUAAGUACCCUGUUCCAAAUCAGUUUGGAAUUCAACACACCCUACUCGGUUUGGAUUCAACACACCCCUACGCUUACUUUCAAAGGGAGGAGUGCCUAAAAUUUUUAUAAAAAGCAAGUUACCAAUGUGAGAUUCAACACAUUCCCACACGCCCAAGAUUACACCGGAACGUAACAUAUUUAUGGGAAAUUUAACAUAAGUGGAAACUCUGAUACGAUAUUAAAUUUGAUUCAAGUCUAACUUACCCUAAAUUAGCUCAAGAGAUAAUUACCUUAUUCCAAACUAACGUGCGAUUCAACAUUAGGUUUCUAAAAAUACAAUUAAAAAAAACUCUACCUUUUGUGGUAGAUUUUGCUUCACUAUCAGGUUUCUAAAACUGUGCAAACUUCCUAGUGGACCUAGGACUGUUGACUCCCAUUCGUAAGCUUCAGCUCCAAGGGAGGAAAGUUUCUAACAUAAAGAUCCAUAAUUGGCCGAGUGAAAUGUAAUUAGGUGGACUUAUUAUUUUUUCUAUUUUGCAGCAGAGUUCCUAGGAAAGAGGAACUGCAAUUACUCAAAUGCAGAAUC